rnacentral:lncRNA from 1 species
UCCAAAUGGGAUACCAUUAGUCUCCGUUACAGUCACUCAUUGUAUGCCUCAGGUCUCCUGGCUUCUCACAUUUGGUUUGUUGCAUCUAAACAUGGCUUCUCUAAGAUGUUGGUAAGCCACAGUUUCUGGAAAACUUUAAAUAUAACAAUUAGUUCAGUCAAUGGCAGCAUGCACUGCUGCAGUUGGUCCAAGGCCAUAAUUGAUAUUCAUCAUGUACCUCUUCUGCUAUCCAGUCAAGAGUCUCCUCAUCUAGUACUUAUUUUGGUCUACGUAGUUGCCUUGUGGGGAGCUGUAGGAGACCUUACCCCUGAAGGUUCCACAUCCUGGUUACCAUGCACUUAUUAGGCGGUAUUGCUUUACUGGCCUGUUUACAGUUAAAACUAGGCAGAGGAAUACCAGUAAAUACCCAGAGGAUCUCCUGACUUCUAAGUACAUUUUGCCUUGCCCGCAUUAUGUAACAGCAGCUUUCGUGAGGAUUACAGUUCAUUACCUUUUUUAGUAUGGUAACUUCCUUCUGCACUUGCUGGUCUACUGAAACAAAGAGCCCCAAAUCUCCAGGCAGCAGUUAUAGCUUUAAGUCUAGUGAUACUCUUACUACAUCUCUUUGUGGAAGUGACCCACUUUAGACUGAGAGAGCAUAAUGAUGAGAGAACAGGAAACACAAAUGCCUCAGGUGGUCCCUGGGUGUACUGGUGAGUGGGAUCACUGAUACUUCCACUCCUUCAUGACCAGACUGAUGUAUUCCAUCUGCUGGAAACAAAGCAGUAUGUCAGGGCCACCGGUUUAAGAAUUAUACCACAUUCUGAAUGAGAGUUUUGUGAUCUGCAUGUCCA